GGUGUGAGGGCUGUAGGACAGGUGUGGGGCUGUAGGACAGGUGUGGGUUACAGGACAGGUGUGGGGCUGUAGGACAGGUGUGGGUUGCAGGACAGGUGCGGUGCUUCACUCCCCAGGUGCGUGCCCCUGCCCCCCGCUCCCGGCCCCUGCGUCACCUCCUGGAAGCGGCUCCUGGCCACGGUGACCCAGGACUUGACGGUGAUGACGGAGUCGGGGUGGCAGCUGCUCAGGAUCUCCUCCCCCAGAGAGGUGAUGCACUCGAGCUCCAGCUGCUGGCACUGCAGCGACUGC